AUAUCUCUCCGUACGGGAAGGAUGAGAAGCUUCGACUAAGGUUCGAUUCGAGCGCAGCGAGAAAGCGUUGCCGCAGGCAACGACCCGAAGGGCGAAGGGCGAAGCGCGCAGCGCUGAGUAAUCCUUCCCCCACCACCA
rnacentral:sRNA from 1 species